AUGUCGGUGGUCAAGUUGGUAAGACACUGCACUAGUAUUGCAAAGGUCGUGGGUUCUAAUCCCACCCGAGUUA